UAACAUAUGACAUCAGUUGACAUCAGAGAAAAACUUUAGCGCCAAAGGUUUUACUUUUGAACUUCUUUCAAAGAGGUUAGAGAAGUAUGGCGUUUAAAAUUAUUUGAAGCGUUUUCCUUAUGUUUUGCCGUCGAGUUAUAACAGUCUGGUGCGUCUGGUGCUGAAUAACGGCUGUACUAGAAAAAUGUCAUUAGCAUGAAUAUCACUUUGAAUAUCAAUUUUGACUUAACCACAUGUUUAUGUUAGUUAUGCAUAGUUUGUGCUGCAUGCUUUUCUGAGAAAAAACUAGAAAUAAAUUGAAUCCUUUUCUCGCUUUUCUCUUUGUGGGCUUCCUUUGUGCUGUCAUAUAUUAUGAUUCGAUUGGGGUCCCUGUGCAUUCAAAAUGGCGCCACAAUCCGCCACAAUAACACGAGUUGAAGUAUUUCAAUAUAGUUUAUGAAUUUGUGGCUUUUGGUACAUGGAAAGUUUACACUGUUCUUCCCACUGAGAWUCAAAGUAAUCUCUAAUUUUCUAAAACAUGGAGCUACACAGUUUUCAUCCAACUUCGUGAGUAACAAAGCCUCAGGUUACAGUCUGUCGUUUUGCAUUUUACGACAUCUGUAAAAUGCGAAAUGACGGUUUCGCAUUUUAAAGAUCUGUAAAAUGCGAAAUCCUCGUUUCGCAUUUUAUUGUUUCGUUUCGUUUCGUUUCGUUUCGUGGUUUAUGGUAAGCGGGGCUGAUGUUUGAUGUAUGGUUUGCAUUACAAUGGAAAACCUGUCCUGGCUUUUGAAUGCUGCCCCGCUCUCUUCUGUUAGUAUCGAUCACUGCUGAAUUCAAAACUAAUCCGGGACAGGUUUUCCAUCAAACUUCAAAAAUGACAUCAAACGAUAAAAAUAAUUCGUGGUUGGUUUUUAAAUGUCUAUCAAAAAAUAGAAGAAAAAUGACUCAUUUCAAUGGAAACCUCAUUGGACAGUAACUAGGUAUCAUUGGGCAGGGUAGAGUGGUCAGUAACCACUAGUUAACUACCCUCCCCAAAGCACACAUUUUUAGUUAAGGUUGAGGUCUAUCUUCCACACAACACACACAUUUUUAGUUAAGGGUCAGGUCUACCCUCAACACAACACACACAUUUCGAGAUAAGGGUGAGGUCUACCCUCUACACAACACAAAAAUUUUUAGUUAAGGGUGAGGUUCUACCCUCCACACAACACACACAGUCUAGCCUCACUACAGCACAACAAAAAAACGCAUUGUCAGUCAGUGAAUUAAAUCAGACCCAUUGUGGAAUGUAUCUUGAAUCGCUUCCAAUAGUAUUUUGGAUCAUUUUUAAGAUAAUGCAUGGGAUUUUCAAAUUCGUUCUUAGAACAAUCGAAAAACCAUGUCCUAGCAAUAAUAAUAGGAGUUUAUUGUGAUCGAUAAAGAUCAACAUUGUCUUAAAAUUAUUUAUAUUUCUUUGCAAUCAUGUGAGAUGGGUUCUUGCUAAAUAUACAGCAGAUUUGACACUAAACAACAAAGAUCACUAUGGAAACAGUCGUUCAGCACUGUCAUGUACUAUAUAUAAAAACGAGCAGCAGUGCUUUUAAUAUUCAAAUGUAAAAGCCUGAGUGUUGUGAAAGUUUUUUAGAAAACACAUAAAUACAUGGUUCGAGAUUUUUAUAUGGCUUUAAAAACCUCAAACACUAAGUAAAACCAAAAAUUUUAAAUAAAAUAAGCGUAAAUGUAGCAUAAUUUCUCAUGUAUGUAUACUGAGGAGAUUUACGUUUCACAUUUGUCACAAAGUUCAUUGGAAAUGCAUUUUAUACACAAGUUCAUUUUUUUGGUCCGUUCUGAUCACAUGGUUGAACUCAUGGGCUAACCACAUGCGCUUCUUGAGCGCCUUUUAUUCCACAAGCCACAGGUAUACUAUCCUAAGUAUUAGUGGUUUCGGAUUUCUCUGGUUAGGGAUCCCCAGUGUUGCACAGAGGUAGCUGUUUAUCGAUGGAGUUCAAAUUCUGCUUCUAAAAUCUUUCUUCAGUAGUCGAUCUUUCUGGAAAAAAAUAUCUGGAAAUAAAGAUCAAUAGUUUAUUAUGUGUCUUGAAGUGUUUCUUCUGCGAAAAAGCCUUAAAAACACUCGUUUGGAACUUCGAAAGUUCGACGAAUUUGACUCGUGCACCUAGUGGAAAAAUUAGACCACCGUUCUCGUUUUGGAUUUAUUUUGACAAAACGUUGGAAAAUGGUCGAAAACCCACUCCUUUUAGAGGAAAGUCUUGGUCGAGUUCUACCAAGAUCGCAAUUUUUCGGCUAAAAAAGAGAAGAAAAGUAAAAUUUAGCUUUGGAUAUGACUUUUACUUAGCCUCAUGGGACACGUUUGUAUGACGGGAAUAAAAUAGGAAGUUAAAAUUGCCCGUUGCGAUCACAGACAUAAAUAAAUAAUUCCGAGCAUAAUCGAAAACUGCUACGACCUGUUUUGGUCAUUCAAAAAUUUGCAGCACCCGUUUUAAAAUUCUCUAUAUGACUAUUUCAAAAUGGUAAGACAGGCUAAAUUUGUAAUAUUUUAUAAUAAGUAAGAAAUUCUAAUGAUUCUAUUAAAAUGUUUAAAAUGUUGACACAUUUAUUUGUUAUUUACACUGGUUUUGAAAUGUAAGUGUGUUGUUUGCUCUUGAAUCAAGGACAGUUCCCUUCCUGUACUAAUAUAUAUUUGUAUUCCUGUUGCCAUUCAUACUACUUCAGCGGCUUAUUUGAUAUCUAACGAUGUAGCCAUUAAAGAUGAGCACCUCUGGAAUAAAAGACAAAAACUAGAACAGCCACAGGUGUAUUCUGGACCGUAUCCUUGCUUGGAUAAGAAUGGCGCUCCU